UGAUAAUGUAAUCUUAUUUUAGUUCAAAGUUGAAAGUUUGGAUUCAGUUUACGUUUUAGCUAAAAGUCAGUACGAGUGUGGUAUUUAUCAAGCUGCUACAGAGUAUCUAUAUCUUUAUCGCUUACUGGUACCCUCCUCGGAUAAGAAUUAUUUGAAUGCAAUGUGGGGCCAGCUGGCUGCAGAAAUUCUCAUGCAAAACUGGGAUGCAGCUUUGGAUGAUUUCAAUCGCCUUAAGGAAUAUAUUGAUACAAGUUCAUUUGGUUCUCCUCUAAUAACAUUGAUGCAGAGAACUUGGUUGAUCCAUUGGAGCCUUUUUGUGUUCUUCAAUCACCCAAAGGGUCAAGAUCUAAUUAUUGAUACACUUCUUUUCCAAAAAGAG